rnacentral:rRNA from 1 species
AAUGAACGCUGGCGGCGUGCCUAAUACAUGCAAGUCGAGCGAACGGACGAGAAGCUUGCUUUUCUGAUGUUAGCGGCGGACGGGGGAGUAACACGUGGAUAACCUACCUAUAAGACUGGGAUAACUUCGGGAAACCGGAGCUAAUACCGGAUAAUAUUUUGAACCGCAUGGUUCAAAAGUGAAAGACGGUCUUGCUGUCACUUAUAGAUGGAUCCGCGCUGCAUUAGCUAGUUGGUAAGGUAACGGCUUACCAAGGCAACGAUGCAUAGCCGACCUGAGAGGGUGAUCGGCCACACUGGAACUGAGACACGGUCCAGACUCCUACGGGAGGCAGCAGUAGGGAAUCUUCCGCAAUGGGCGAAAGCCUGACGGAGCAACGCCGCGUGAGUGAUGAAGGUCUUCGGAUCGUAAAACUCUGUUAUUAGGGAAGAACAUAUGUGUAAGUAACUGUGCACAUCUUGACGGUACCUAAUCAGAAAGCCACGGCUAACUACGUG